rnacentral:rRNA from 1 species
GAUGAACGCUGGCGGCGUGCAUAACACAUGCAAGUCGAACGAUGAAACUUUAAUGAACCCUUCGGGGAGAAUUAAAGCGGGUUAGUGGCGAACGGGUUGGUAACGCGUGAGUAACCUGCCUUACACAAGGGGAUAGCCUUUGGAAACGAAGAAUAAUACCCUAUAAAACCAUACAAGCACAUGCAAUUAUGGUAAAAGUGAUAGCGGUGUAAGAUGGACUUGGGUCUGAUUAGCUAGUUGGGGAGAUAAAAGCCCACCAAGGCAACGAUCAGUAGCCGGCUGGAGAGAGGGUACGGCACCAUUGGGACUGGGACCCGGCCCAGACUCCUCCGGGAGGAAGAAGUGGGGAAUUUAGAACAAUGGGGGAACCCCGGAUGCAGCGACGCCGCGUGAUUUAGAAGGCCUUCGGGUUGUAAAACUCUUUUGUAUAGGAAGAAAAUGACGGUACUAUACGAAUAAGGCCCGGCUAAUUACGUG